CCGACGUCUAGGGAAGACAUAUUUGUAAGGACGAACCAGUUCUGUCGGGUGAACAGAUUUACAGACAUUACAGACAAGUCUAGAGCCAGGGCUGUGCUGGAUUGCAGAAGCCAUGUGGUUACUCAGCUCACAGAUUCAGGCCAUUUGUAUGCAGGCCAGCACUGCAAGCGCCAGUGGGUCAAGCUAACACAGAGAGGCGAUGGCAGACGCCUUUCCGCGAUGGAGCGCAGGAUUAAAGAGCAGACGGACUCCCCCCCCCUUUUCUCCAUUAAUUCCCAGAGGCCUUUCACAGGGGACGAAACAGUGGAUCCCAUCAGAUCAGAGGGGUCUGGGUAUGUCUUUGAAGGGUCCAUCAGAGGGACGUCUCUCUCAGGUGCGCCUGUCCCAUCACAGACAUCCCCUGUCCCAUUGCUGGGGUGUGGCACCGCAAGGCCUCUUGGACGGGUUGAAAGGACCCAAGGAACAGGGGUCCCAAAUCUCCAGACAUCAAAGGGGGGUGGGGGGGUGAACCUGGGUGCUAGGAGUCAGGUGACCGGAGGGAAUUGGACAGAAGGUACCCAGUUUCCCACGGGAGAUGGGAGAGAGGUGACGACACGGGCGGGACCAGGCCCAGCAGCCUCCUUCAUCCCACCAGUGAACUGUCGUCGCUGCAUGAUAUCGCCCGAAACCCAAUCGGAGGUCGGGACCCAGGUGUGCCAGCACAAAGAGCUCCACCUUCGGGCCCGGCAUGAAAGAGGAGCUUAAUCACUAUGGCGACACCAUGGCAGACACCCAGCUUCUCCUGUUCUGUGAGAGAUCCCCUCUAUAUGAGAGAGAGGGUUACAGGACAUCACUGAGAAUUAAUGAUAUGAAACAGCAUGGAUGGUUCAUCUCAUUGAUAGUACAUUAUGGCCAUCAUCAGUAGUGUUAGCAAUGCAAAGUUUUAUAAAAAGGACACGUACAGAGAAGAGGCAUGUAUGUGUUGAAUCCUCUUACACAGUACAUUGUGUAUUUUUCAAACACGUGGACAAUCCUAGUUUUAAAAUAAUAGUUUGUGUAUAAUAACUCACGGUUCAGCUGUACACCUCUUGUGUGGUGCAGUGGUCAUAUGUGAAUACAAUAGGCCUGUGUUUCACUGUCCUUUCCAAAGCCAAGAAUCAGCUUUCAGCCUGUGGGAGACAUAUUAGCACACCUUCAAUCUGUAUUUACUGUUUGUUCCCAAAGCGGUUUGAUUAUAAUUAUGUGCUAAUGAAGCAGAAGCUGAUUGUUGCUGUGGGCACACAUAAAAGAUAAUUUGAUAUUUGAAUAUGCUAAUGGCUCCCAGGAUCAGACACUCCCCACUUUACUGCACAUGCUACUGUAUAUAGCAGUUUAUUUACAUUGUAUGUUUAAUGAUUGUCAGGGCAGAACAUGAGUUUUUCAAAUACAGCCACUGAAAAUGAAUAUAUACAAGAUAAUUGUAUCUUGUGUAAAAUGAAAUGAAUUAGAAAUUAAUUGGAGAGGGCAGUAAGACUCAACAAAACUGGCUCAAAUUGUCCCUCCACAAAAUUAAAAGCGGGAGAGGGUGUACCAGGAGAUCGAUCUAUAAUAAUAUAGCAGGGGUGCACAAACCUUUUCAGCGAUGACCCAAAUACUGUACAUCAAUCCCUGCUUUUCCCGACCCGAACUGAUGUCAUUUUCAUUAAUAGAAGUGAACUGAUAAUGAAUUGCUAAACUGCUGACAAUAGCCAUGUUUUUAGUACCUACAGUAAAAGCUAAAUGAAAGGACAAAGCUACUGAAAAUAGCAGCCGGCUAAUCACUGAAAGCAUAAUCAAAUUAACUGAAUUAAAGGCUUUAUCAGUGGAGCAUUGCAUGUGUAAAGUGCUCAAAGCUGCCAGGAAGAGAACAAUAGGAUAAAACAUUUCUUCUCAUUAA